rnacentral:rRNA from 1 species
GACGAACGCUGGCGGUGUGCUUAACACAUGCAAGUCGAAUGGUAAGGCCCUUUCGGGGGUACACGAGUGGCGAACGGGUGAGUAACACGUGAGUAACCUGCCCUCAUCUCUGGGAUAACAGUCGGAAACGGUUGCUAAUACUGGAUAUGAGCUUGCAAGGCAUCUUGUGGGUUGGAAAGAUUUUUUUGGUUGGGGAUGGACUCGCGGCCUAUCAGCUUGUUGGUGAGGUAGUGGCUCACCAAGGCUUCGACGGGUAGCCGGCCUGAGAGGGCGACCGGCCACAUUGGGACUGAGAUACGGCCCAAACUCCUACGGGAGGCAGCAGUGGGGAAUAUUGCACAAUGGACGGAAGUCUGAUGCAGCAACGCCGCGUGCGGGAUGACGGCCUUCGGGUUGUAAACCGCUUUCAAUUGUGACGAAGCUUUUUGUGACGGUAGCAGUAGAAGAAGCACCGGCUAACUACGUG